rnacentral:lncRNA from 1 species
CAGUGCCUUGUUGGAUGCAGAUGCCAGCCAGCAAGUCUCUCCAAGUGGAAGGCAGGAACUCAUCAACAAGUUCUUGGACGCUGGCAACAUUGAUGCAGCAGAAGCCGUGAUCCUGAAAACCCUGCCAGACCAUUCUCCUUGCACUAUAGCAUCCAGUGACAGCCGCCUAAUUUUCUAUAUCGCUGGUUAUGUGGCGAGAAAAUUUAUUUUAAAGACAGGCUGUGAAGCCUGCCUAAACUUACUACUGAUCACAAUAGAGGCAGCAGGAAAUUUGAGGCUUGCAGAGUUUACCCACAUGAAAGACAACGGUGGUUUGUUGUAUCCUGCCUCCCCUCUUUACCAAUUUGUGGUCAACUUGGAGAAAGACUUCACAACUUGUUUCAGUCUUCUUGAGUUGCACGCAGACAGUGUUUAGAUGUUUUGGAUGUUGUGAAAGCCACGCGGCAGCAUCAACUUGGCUGCCCUGAUCACUGCGAAUCCAUGACAGCAGAACUCACUGCCGUCUACAUCACAACCAGACUACAUUUCUUCACAAAGAGCGUGAAUAAGUGUAAUGAAAGAAGGCGCCAGGCAUCAAAAUAUAUUAAGCACAGUUUAUGUGUUUAACAGUAAUAGUUACUUAUACUAUGUUAGAUGCUUGGUGUCUAGGGACAGUGCACUUUAGGAUUACUUUACAGUUGUGCCAUUUUCAUUGUUAAUAAAGAAAAAGAAACACCAACCUGGCUUUUACUGAGUGUCACUCUGAUGGUAUGAGUUGAAGAUGCGGCGGAUUUCUUAGAAGCUAAAAUACUGGGAAAAAAUUUGAGUGUGUAUGUGCGCAAUUGUAUAGU